rnacentral:misc_RNA from 1 species
AGAAGGCAGGCACAGUCUCAGACAAACUCCUAGAUGGCCUUUUAUAGUACAUUACAUUGGUUUUGGCCAAAAACAAAAACUAGGGUUCUGCCUGCUAUAAGCUAAUGUUGCGAAUGAGCAGAUAAACUGUCCUCGUCUGAUGAACUAUGCUGCCAUUUUGCUGUUAACCAGCUAAUGGUAGGCUGUAGAUUUGGAUUUACUGGAACUGGAAACUUGUGG